rnacentral:snRNA from 1 species
UAGCUCACUUCAGCAGCACAUAUACUAAAAUGGGAACAACACAGAGAAGAUUAGCAAGGCACAAGGAUGACAGCAAAUUCAUGAAGCGUUCCAUAUGUAU